rnacentral:lncRNA from 1 species
AAGGAGGCGGAGCCUUGCCCGCUCCCCACACUGUGUGAGUCCCAGGGACAAGUUUCUGGAGGGGAGUAUUAGUGACUUUUUUUCACUGCUGUAACCGAAUACCUCAAAGGGAUGAACUCAGGGGCAGGGGCAUUUCUUUGGACUCUGGGCUUGCACAGAAGUUCCCUACCUGAGAGAGGCUCAGAAUGAAACUCCUUGGGACUCUAAAGCUCCAUGUAAAAAGUCAGGCGCUCAAGAGACUGACGGAGGACAUCAUUAGGUCAAGGUCAGCCUGGACUGUAUAGCAAAACCCUGUCUGCCAAGAGAUGAAGAGAUGGAGAGAUGGCUCAGUGGUUAAGGGCACUGACUGCUCUUUCUGAGGACCCAGUGCAGCCUCAGAGUCAAUGAGAAGACAGACUCUGCACUUGGCGUGCAUUCACCCCCAAGUGUAUGGAAGCCAUCUUGAAGCAGCUUCUCAAUUCUCCUGCCAUGUCUCUCUGUUCAGGAUGUUCCUGCCACUGAACCCGAGCCUGGCAUCCAGCAAGCGCUAGCCAAGAGCUUAGCAGUGACCACUUGUCUACUCAUCGGGGGACGGCCAUCAGCCUGGAGGUGAACCAGGGAGAGUCUUGACUAUAGGCACGGCCCCAGCAUCAGUGGGAUCUUGGGGGAGACUUUGACCAUCAGCAGAGGAGGUUUGGGGGGACAAUGUUAUUAAAAUAAAAUGACCCUUGCCAAGA